CAGCAGGAUAUCUACUGUGCAGCUCGUGUGGUGCUGUAUUGUCGUUCCCCCUGCUGAAAGUAAAAUGUCUCCAGCUAUCCCUGUCUGUCCACAUCCCCCGACAGCCAGGGACGCAAGGUUUCAGACAC
rnacentral:snoRNA from 1 species